CCUACGUGAGGCAGCAGUGAGGAAUAUUGGUCAAUGGCCGGAAGGCUGAACCAGCCAUGCCGCGUGAAGGUCAGUGCCCUAUGGGCGUUAAACUUCUUUUGUGCGGGAGCAAUAAUGGUCACGUGUGGCCAGACGAGAGUAGCGUCCGAAUAAGCAUCGGCUAACUCCGUGCCAGCAGCCGCGGUAAUACGGGGGAGGCAAGCGUUGUCCGGCAUUAUGGGGUUUAAAGGGGGCGUAGGCUGUGAGGUAAGUCAGCGGGGAAAUGCCCCCGCUCAACGGGGUGAAGUGCCAUUGAUACUGCCUUGCUGGAGUGCGGAUGCCGUGGGAGGAAUGUGUGGUGUAGCGGUGAAAUGCAUAGAUAUCACACAGAACACCGAUUGCGAAGGCAUCUCACGAAUCCGCGAUUGACGCUGAUGCACGAAAGCGUGGGUAUCAAACAGGAUUAGAUACCCCUGUAGUC
rnacentral:rRNA from 1 species